rnacentral:rRNA from 1 species
UACGAAGGGGGCUAGCGUUGCUCGGAAUCACUGGGCGUAAAGCGCACGUAGGCGGAUUGCUAAGUCAGGGGUGAAAUCCUGGAGCUCAACUCCAGAACUGCCUUUGAUACUGGCGAUCUCGAGUCCGGGAGAGGUGAGUGGAACUCCGAGUGUAGAGGUGAAAUUCGUAGAUAUUCGGAAGAACACCAGUGGCGAAGGCGGCUCACUGGCCCGGUACUGACGCUGAGGCACGAAAGCGUGGGGAGCAAACAGG